CCUACGGGAGGCUGCAGUGGGGAAUAUUGGACAAUGGGGGCAACCCUGAUCCAGUCAUGCCGCGUGUGUGAAGAAGGCCCUCGGGUUGUAAAGCACUUUCAGUGAGGAAGAACGCCUGGUGGUUAAUACCCAUCAGGAAAGACAUCACUCACAGAAGAAGCACCGGCUAACUCCGUGCCAGCAGCCGCGGUAAUACGGAGGGUGCGAGCGUUAAUCGGAAUUACUGGGCGUAAAGCGCGCGUAGGUGGCUUGAUAAGCCGGUUGUGAAAGCCCCGGGCUCAACCUGGGAACGGCAUCCGGAACUGUCAAGCUAGAGUGCAGGAGAGGAAGGUAGAAUUCCCGGUGUAGCGGUGAAAUGCGUAGAGAUCGGGAGGAAUACCAGUGGCGAAGGCGGCCUUCUGGACUGACACUGACACUGAGGUGCGAAAGCGUGGGUAGCAAACAGGAUUAGAGACCCCGGUAGUC
rnacentral:rRNA from 1 species